GCAUGGACAACAGAGGUCCUUAUCCAGGGGA
rnacentral:piRNA from 1 species